UCGGCGAUCGCCGAUGGCGAUCCGUCAAGAUCCACAUGCAUUAUCAAAUUACUUGACCAUUUCAAGCAUGCUGGCCCUAACGGGCAGCAUGUGUGUUUGGUCUUUGAGUUGCUGGGGGAUAGUUUACUUCGGUUGAUUCGGUACAAUAGGUAUAAGGGAAUCGGUUUGAGUAAUGUUAGGCAGAUCUGCGGAUCGAUCUUGUCGGGGCUCGAUUACUUGCAUUCCGGGCUUGGGAUUGUGCAUACGGA
rnacentral:misc_RNA from 1 species